rnacentral:SRP_RNA from 1 species
UACCAGCACACGAGCGAAGUUUCUCAGUCGGAUGCAGAUGGUCGAGUAGAACUCUUUCUGAUAUGCCUUCUCGAGCUCAAGGUCCUCGUAUCGCCCAAAGAAAUGCUCUAUCUUCACCUCCUGCUCGCAGAACCAAAGCGCCGUGUUGCGGUGACUCUUGUUCUGGUACAACCAUCCUAGAGGGGAGUAAGGAGCUUGCAUCUCCAGGAGCGCGUCUGGAGACGCG